GGUCUGGGCGAGGCUGAGUCAUGUUGGCUGAGUCGAGCCUGGGCCUGGCGAGGGGGGAGAAGUCGUAACAAGGUGGCCGCACGGGAACGUGCGGCCGGAUCACCUCCUACCG
rnacentral:rRNA from 1 species